UAGGAAAAGAUUUCUAUGGUCUGAAUAGCUAUUCUUUCUCGAUUCGUUCGGCGUACCAGUAAGACGGCUUUAAGCUGCGAAAAAAGUGAAGUUAGGAGAAGCUAUCGGUUAGAAGUAACGGAAUACCGUUCGAAUUCGUUACAUCGAGAAAAAGAGAAAAAAAGUGGAAGUUAACAGGCCCAUGUGCGGGAUAGUGUAGCUCCUUUUAUGAAAUCCUACACAGUGUUAAGGACCGCCAAUUAAGUCCAGCACUUAAUAGCAAUUUUGCUCGAGGUUCAGGUAAUUUAACCAUCGUCAUGUGUGAUACGCCAUUUUACCCUACCGCUAACUAAUGCGCACAUUAUAUGUUCUCGCUUGAAGGAUCCUUCAAGCGAAGGUGUUCCGUCCGGGUGCUAUAGCAUCCAAGCAGGAGUAGGGGAUAGCGACCAGCCACGCUGUCUCUGGAGACGUUCCCGAAGCCUGCCGGCUUGUAGCCUAGCUCACCGUCGGGCCAGUGUUCGACUCCCUCGCCCUGCGGGCCACCCAAAGGAGAACCACGCCUUUGGAGCUGAUUCACCGGCCACCACAAGUCGGGCAUCAGCCACAUAGCCUCGAAGCAACACCCUCUCGAGAGGCAGGAAUCAAGCGUCGUGAUCACGAUCAGCCGAUUGAGCCGCCGGCACGGAAUGAUAAGUCGGUAUUUUCGCCGCCGCUCAGCAUAGCAGUUAGUCGAGACACUGACAGCAUCGGUGUCAAUGUGGUAACAACGAUUACAGCCGCCUCGCCUCAACUCUGAAGGAAAUCACCGUGGACGAAUAAGGUCAGA